rnacentral:rRNA from 1 species
AUUGAACGCUGGCGGCAUGCCUAACACAUGCAAGUCGAACGAGUGGCGGACGGGUGAGUAAUGGCGGGGAACCUGCCUGAUGGAGGGGGAUAACUACUGGAACCGGUAGCUAAUACCGCAUACGAUCAGAUGUGCCCAGAUGGGUUUAGCUGGUUGGUGGGGUAACGGCUCACCAAGGCGACGAUCCCUAGCGGGGCUGAGAGGAUGACCAGCCACACUGGGACUGAGACACGGUCCAGACUCCUACGGGAGGCAGCAGUGGGGAAUCUUGCACAAUGGGCGAAAGCCUGAUGCAGCCACGCCGCGUGUAUGAAGAAGGCCUUCGGGUUGUAAAGUACUGUUGGUAGGGAGGCGGUACCUGCAGAAGAAGCCCCGGCUAACUCCGUGCCAGCAGCCGCGGUAAUUC